rnacentral:ncRNA from 2 species
UAAAUGCACUAGGGGUGUUUUGAAACUGAGACAGACAUGAAAAGGUCUGAACCCUUUGUACCUGAUCUAGAUGAUACUAGCGUAGGAAAGUGUUCGUAAAUCAUA